rnacentral:rRNA from 1 species
GACGAACGCUGGCGGCGUGCUUAACACAUGCAAGUCGAACGGAAAGGCCCUGCUUUUGUGGGGUGCUCGAGUGGCGAACGGGUGAGUAACACGUGAGUCACCUGCCCUUGACUUUGGGAUAACUUCAGGAAACUGGGGCUAAUACCGGAUAGGAGCUCCUGCUGCAUGGUGGGGGUUGGAAAGUUUCGGCGGUUGGGGAUGGACUCGCGGCUUAUCAGCUUGUUGGUGGGGUAGUGGCUUACCAAGGCUUUGACGGGUAGCCGGCCUGAGAGGGUGACCGGCCACACUGGGACUGAGAUACGGCCCAGACUCCUACGGGAGGCAGCAGUGGGGAAUAUUGCACAAUGGGCGGAAGCCUGAUGCAGCAACGCCGCGUGCGGGAUGACGGCCUUCGGGUUGUAAACCGCUUUCGCCUGUGACGAAGCGUGAGUGACGGUAAUGGGUAAAGAAGCACCGGCUAACUACGUG